AGUGAACGCUGGCGGUAGGCCUAACACAUGCAAGUCGAACGGCAGCACAGUAAGAGCUUGCUCUUACGGGUGGCGAGUGGCGGACGGGUGAGGAAUACAUCGGAAUCUACUUUUUCGUGGGGGAUAACGUAGGGAAACUUACGCUAAUACCGCAUACGACCUACGGGUGAAAGCAGGGGAUCUUCGGACCUUGCGCGAUUGAAUGAGCCGAUGUCGGAUUAGCUAGUUGGCGGGGUAAAGGCCCACCAAGGCGACGAUCCGUAGCUGGUCUGAGAGGAUGAUCAGCCACAAUGGAACUGAGACACGGUCCAGACUCCUACGGGAGGCAGCAGUGGGGAAUAGUGGACAAUGGGCGCAAGCCUGAUCCAGCCAUACCGCGUGGGUGAAGAAGGCCUUCGGGUUGUAAAGCCCUUUUGUUGGGAAAGAAAAGCAGCAGGUUAAUACCCCGCUGUUCUGACGGUACCCAAAGAAUAAGCACCGGCUAACUUCGUG
rnacentral:rRNA from 1 species